rnacentral:tRNA from 1 species
AAUAAGGUAAGCUAAUUAAGCUAUUGGGUUCAUACCCCAUAUAUAAAGGUUAUAAUCCUUUCUCUAUUA